CUGACAUGAACGAACAGCUAUUCCUAGCACAGCUUUUCUGGGUAAGGUUGUGUUAUUCGUUGUCGUUGGGUCCCGCAAUUGCCUCAUCGUACGCUCCGAAUGCACGCAUAUGGUAGAAUCAACAUCUGAGAGUCAGUAUGGAACAUCAAAGAGACAGAAAAACGCUGAAUCACACUAAACCUGACCGAAAUUCAAGACCAAUGUGGGUUCUUGACGAUGACUGCAAACGAGGGGAAAAAAGCGAUACCAAGACCUCUUGCUUUCCAGAAAAUCAGCAGGAUAGCGAUUGGCUCCUUUGUAUUCAGAAGAUAUACUCGGACUCAGUACAGAGAAAAUUAAGGUAAGUUUUCUUUAGGUUGGAAGUCACUCAAAUUGAGACACUUAGGAUAUCAUUGGUACACGGAAUUCGUAAGUAUCAAACAGGUAGGCACUACUAAUCAAAACAUUCCUUUCACAGGGUAAUGCUAACGUACUUCCUUUUCAGGUAUCUUUCGCAACUUCUAGGUCAAUCUUGAAGAGUAGAGAAAUUUUUUUUACAUGAAAUUGGACUUACAGCUCGUAAGUCCGUUUCAUGUUUUCAAACCAAAUGCCAUAUUGCGUUACAAAAUCUGUCACGCAAUACGGCAUUCGUGAUUGCAUAAACUUUUGUUGUAAUCAUGACAUUUGCGCAAAGAAGGCUUUGCGCAAAUGAUUUACACCUUCCAUACCAUGGUAAUAGAUAAUAGCCUUAUAGCCACCUGUAUGUUGUGUCCGUAAUAUUUUAGUGUUUAACUAGUCUUUAGUAUCAUAUUGUUCCUUACCUUUAUGGUUCUUACUAGUAUUUCAAUCC